rnacentral:lncRNA from 1 species
CUUGCUCCUUCUGUGGGAACAGAGACUCUGGCAUCUUCAGCUUUGAAAUUGCUUAAACAUAUCUGCUUGGAGGUGGGAUAGAGGGAAUGGAUGCCACAUGGUGCAGCUGCCUAAAAGCUAAGAAGGGGUCAUGGGGUAACAGGAAAUGCCAAAGAAAAACAAUAAUUGGCAUAAAGAUUGAGGCCCAGAAGAGGAAAAGGAAGUGACAAAGAUCACCCAGAAAGAAGGUUCCAACUGCAGCUUGACUUCAGGUGAUGUAGCUCCCACCUGGCCAGGUAUCUUUUCCAGUAUACCAACAUAACUAGAGAAAUUUUUAUGCCUUAACUCAGUCACCAUAAAGACUCAAUGG